rnacentral:lncRNA from 1 species
AUUCAGGCUGAUUUCCAUUUUGAGAAAUGUUCUAAGAAGGAGUCGUACCCUACUUUCAAAGUUUCACUGAAGCCUGGGCUUAGAGAUGCACGUAUAGCUGGGAGCUCUUAUCUCUUCCAACUUUUUUUAUUUCUUUGUUAAAUCAAAGAAACUCCAAAAGUCUCCAAUCGGUCACCAGAGAGAGUGUCGAUGCCUCAGAAGAUGACAAACGGCAUGCUGGUGUCUGCGUAGUAAGGCUCGUCCCUGUGUCUAGACAUGAAGAUGGUCUGAAGACCACAAGUUAACUGCUCAUGGUCCGAUUGCACUGUGUGUCACUCAUAUGACACCCCACUGCCACCCCAGUGAAGGUUACAGCUCGAGAGAGACCUGUGGAUGACCAGUCAGAGAAAACACUUUCUGUCUGAGAUAGGGCCCAUGGUACCACCAAGAACUGAAUCUGAUCACCAGACUCUCUGAGCUAUGACAGACAAGUAAGGUAUGCAGGCUUCUGACUGAAGAAAGUCUUGUGCCAGCCCCUGAAAGGACUCUUUGUGUCUGAAGGACAACACAGCUAAGGAGUCUGGAAGGGGAAGGGAUGAGGUCAGAAGUGGGCUGUGCCCACGAGCUUCCUCCUUUCCCCCUUCAUAUCUGCCUUCCAAGCCACCAAUGCACACAUUCCUGCAUUACCACCGAAGAAUCUCAGAGGUAUCUCCUGGUGCAUAAGUGGUCCUCAGGAGGUCCACCAGGCUGUACCUUCUGCACUGGUGGGUAUCCCCUCCCCCCAGCCCACCUGCUCUUUUCUCUCAGUUUGGAGUCAGGAAAAAAAAAACAGAACAAAACAAACAAAUAAAAAAAAAAU